GCGUAUCCAACCUUCCGUACACUCAGGGAUAGCCUUUCGAAAGAAAGAUUAAUACCUGAUGGUAUGAUGAGAUUGCAUGAUAGCAUCAUUAAAGAUUUAUCGGUGUACGAUGGGGAUGCGUUCCAUUAGGUAGUAGGCGGGGUAACGGCCCACCUAGCCUACGAUGGAUAGGGGUUCUGAGAGGAAGGUCCCCCACAUUGGAACUGAGACACGGUCCAAACUCCUACGGGAGGCAGCAGUGAGGAAUAUUGGUCAAUGGACGAGAGUCUGAACCAGCCAAGUAGCGUGAAGGAUGAAGGUCUUACGGAUUGUAAACUUCUUUUAUAAGGGAAUAAAACCUCCCACGUGUGGGAGCUUGUAUGUACCUUAUGAAUAAGCAUCGGCUAACUCCGUGCCAGCAGCCGCGGUAAUACGGAGGAUGCGAGCGUUAUCCGGAUUUAUUGGGUUUAAAGGGAGCGCAGACGGGUCGUUAAGUCAGCUGUGAAAGUUUGGGGCUCAACCUUAAAAUUGCAGUUGAUACUGGCGUCCUUGAGUGCGGUUGAGGUGUGCGGAAUUCGUGG
rnacentral:rRNA from 1 species